UGGGGAAUAUUGCACAAUGGGGGAAACCCUGAUGCAGCGACGCCGCGUGAACGAAGAAGUAUUUCGGUAUGUAAAGUUCUAUCAGCAGGGAAGAUAAUGACGGUACCUGACCAAGAAGCACCGGCUAAAUACGUGCCAGCAGCCGCGGUAAUACGUAGGGGCAAGCGUUAUCCGGAUUUACUGGGUGUAAAGGGAGCGUAGACGGCCGUGCAAGUCUGAUGUGAAAGGCUGGGGCUCAACCCCGGGACUGCAUUGGAAACUGUAUGGCUGGAGUGCCGAAGAGGUAAGCGGAAUUCCUAGUGUAGCGGUGAAAUGCGUAGAUAUUAGGAGGAACACCAGUGGCGAAGGCGGCUUACUGGACGGUAACUGACGUUGAGGCUCGAAAGCGUGGGGAGCAAACAGGAUUAGAUACCCUGGUAGU
rnacentral:rRNA from 1 species